rnacentral:pre_miRNA from 11 species
GACCGCUUGCGAAAAUCGGUUUUCGCAGGCGGACCCUUAAGUGGACCGCUUGCGAAAAUCGAUUUUCGCAGGCGGAC